AAAGCGAAGUGUGAAGUGGGGAUAGGCGGAGGACCCCUCUUGCCCCUGUCCCUUCUUUCCAACCAGUGAACGCACAACGUCCAUCGAUGCCAAGUCGUGACUCGUAAUCGCGCAACGAAAGAAAACAUUUACACAACGAGAAAAGAAAUAAAAUAGAAUCACUCUGAUAUUCUCUCCUCUGUCCAUUCGUUUUCGCAAAAUGAACUCUGUUCACGAUUCUCGCAUUGUCUGGUUUAAUCCAUCGUUAAAUACCUAACCUAUAAUUUCUAAUAACUUCGAAUCGAGGUACAUCGUUGCGCACGAUCAUUUGGCAUGAUAGUAUCCCAGCGGUUGGAUAGAUGGGGCCAAUGGUGAUUCAAAGUCAGUUAAUGGGGAAUUCUGUCGGAGCGUUAUACGGUCAUUUCUGACGACUACUCGCGUAAUUGGUAUUCGAUUACCAGUGUGAUUCACGAAUCGACGACUCUCGCUUCGAUCAUUCGAACGAAUUGUGGCCGACACAAAUCGAAAUUUGUAUUUCGAAAAUAUGGCACGUUAAUCUUAUUUUCAAUAAUCUAAUUUUUUAAAAAUAACAUAAAAUUUAAUAGGAAUCGCGUGUGCUCGUUGUUGAAACGCAAUAGGCGGUAUAUAACGAUUAAAGAUAAUAUAAAUUUUUGAAUAAUUAAGUGUAAUAACGAGAUUAAUAUAUAUAUAUAUAUGACGAAAAAAAGUGUUAUCUUGUAAUCGUUAGAUGAAAAAAAUUAUUAUCGUAUUGCAUGACUCGUAUCGAUUACCUGCACACCUGUGUAUAAUCAACGAAAAAAAUAUCACGUAUAUCACGAUUAUGAAAUUAGUCGACGAAAAUACAAGAAAUACAUUUAAUCAAAAUAUAAAUUUCAACUUUUUUGAUCAACACUUGUUGGAAUAUUCAAUGUAAAAUAUAAAUUAUUUCAACAGAGCUAUAUUCUAUACUAUAUUGGACGUAUUAAUCCUGUGAGAAAGAAUUCAUUCAAAGAAUAAUGUAUAUAAAUAAUUGCAACGAAACACGAGUAAAAUCUCAGAAUCAUUUUUGCUUAUGCUCAUCGGUUCAAACAAUUAUUAAAUUUUCACAAAAAUAUAAAUCAAAGCAACAUUAAUCCAUAAUCUCUCCGACCUAACCUAAAACCAUUAACAAAUCCUGCCAGAAAAAAAUUAAACAACUCCACCAUCGUAAAUUUCUAUCGAGAGAUAAUAAAAUUAAAAACAAUUAAAAAACGAUUAAAUAGAUGAAAAAAAAUAAAGAGGCGAAGAAGAAAAAAGAACAAAUAAAUUAUAAUGAUUUAAAUGGCUUCGAACGAUGCGAGGAAAAAAGAAACGAGGGAGGAGAGAGGGGGGUGGAAAAUAAUGGAAGCGAAAAGGUCGAAGAGAGAAUGAUUGGCGCACGCAGGUUGGCGACCUGUAAUUCGUACGCAGCAUCGAGGAGACCGUAAUCCCUGUGAAACUGGUGAAACGCGACCCCUGGGUCCGAUUUUUGCUCGUUGGUUCGAGGGCGGAAUGCAAAACGCGUCACCCCCUCCCCCUAUGUCGAUACGAAUCGACGAAUCGAGGUUAACCGUGCGCGAUCAAGAUCGGGACCAUUCAUGCAAAUUAAAAUGUUUCCUGGUGGAAAACAUGGUGGAUUGGAUUUUGAAAUUUUUUGCUUUUGUUUAGAAGCUGUGGUAAAUUUAAAUUCUGGCAUUUCGUAAGAGCGAUGUAAAAAUGAAGACUGGAUACAAUAACGUGGAGGAAACAGAGGAAGCCGCCAGAAGGGUCGUUUCAAUUCAACGGUUCGUAAUAGUCGUACAAGGUACGAGGGUAACGAGUACAUAUGUACGUCAAUUAAACGGCGUGCACACAAGGGGCCAGCUGUGACGACUUACCUCGAAUGCAAGGCACAGCUACGCUGUACUGUGGGGAAACUCGAGGUGGGAGGCGGAGGUGGAGUGCAAUAUGCCGGUGGUAAUGGUGGAUCAUGUCUGUGAAGAUGGUUAUGCCGGUGACUGUGAGAAUAACUCAGAGAACCUCUCAGACUGCCGGGCAGAUGGCGAUGCGGCGUUGACUGAUCACUGAAAAUGAACAAUAAAAUGAUUUAAA